rnacentral:rRNA from 1 species
UACGGGGGGGGCGAGCGUUGUUCGGAAUUACUGGCGUAAAGCGUGCGCAGGCGGUUAUGUAAGACAGGUGUGAAAUCCCCGGGCUUAACCUGGGAACUGCAUUUGUGACUGCAUAGCUAGAGUACGGUAGAGGGGGAUGGAAUUCCGCGUGUAGCAGUGAAAUGCGUAGAUAUGCGGAGGAACACCGAUGGCGAAGGCAAUCCCCUGGGCCUGCACUGACGCUCCAUGCACGAAAGCGUGG